AGGUCUGUAACUCAGUGGUAGAGCAUCUGCUUUGCUUACAGAAGGUCCCAGGUUCGAUCCCCAGUAUCUUCAGGUUUA